rnacentral:rRNA from 1 species
ACGCACGCUGGCGGCGUGCUUAACCCCUGCAAGUCGAACGGAAAGGCCCUGCUUUUGUGGGGUGCUCGAGUGGCGAACGGGUGAGUAACACGUGAGUAACCUGCCCUUGACUUUGGGAUAACUUCAGGAAACUGGGGCUAAUACCGGAUAGGAGCUCCUGCUGCAUGGUGGGGGUUGGUAAGUUUCGGCGGUUGGGGAUGGACUCGCGGCUUAUCAGCUUGUUGGUGGGGUAGUGGCUUACCAAGGCUUUGACGGGUAGCCGGCCUGAGAGGGUGACCGGCCACAUUGGGACUGAGAUACGGCCCAGACUCCUACGGGAGGCAGCAGUGGGGAAUAUUGCACAAUGGGCGGAAGCCUGAUGCAGCAACGCCGCGUGCGGGAUGACGGCCUUCGGGUUGUAAACCGCUUUCGCCUGUGACGAAGCGUGAGUGACGGUAAUGGGUAAAGAAGCACCGGCUAACUACGUG